CUACGGGGCGCUGCAGUGAGGAAUAUUGCACAAUGGGGGGAACCCUGAUGCAGCAACGCCGCGUGGAGGAUGACGCCUUUCGGUGUGUAAACUCCUUUUAUAUGUCAAGAAAAUGACGGUAGCAUAUGAAUAAGCACUGGCUAACUCCGUGCCAGCAGCCGCGGUAAUACGGAGGGUGCAAGCGUUACUCGGAAUCACUGGGCGUAAAGGACGCGUAGGCGGGUUGGAAAGUCAGGUGUGAAAUCCUACAGCUUAACUGUAGAACUGCACUUGAAACUUCUAAUCUAGAGUAUGGGAGGGGGAGAUGGAAUUAGUGGUGUAGGGGUAAAAUCCGUAGAUAUCACUAGGAAUACCUAAAGCGAAGGCGAUCUCCUGGAACAUUACUGACGCUAAGGCGUGAAAGCGUGGGGAGCAAACAGGAUUAGAUACCCCCGUAGUC
rnacentral:rRNA from 1 species